CGUAAAAACUUCUAGUGUAGACGCACCUUUAGACGCCGUCUUGGGGGUCCCCACCUUUGUUGACAUUGGCCGAUGAGAUGCUCAAUUGGCUCACCUGUUUGAAUAUUCAGCAGUUGGUCGCCGCAGCAGGGCCAUUUUAUUCCUUCCUCUCCUGUAAUUCUUUUUCAAUCACGGACCAAGGAAACCCCUACAAGUGCCUGCUCACCUGGCUUGACCUGUCCUGAACACUGUCCAGGAAAACAUCGCCAGUACUUCGUAGGGGUAGUCGUGGAUUAAUAAAUAAACUUCAACCAAAUUAAUGGGAUUUCGGAUAUUACUGGCGCAGAAACUCGCAAUAGCAAUACGUAUGAAUUGCCCUGCAGUCAUUUGAUUGAAUGGGAUGUUGUUACGCUUUAGUAAUUUUCCAAAACAAGAUUUUCCUACCUGUUGGCCAUUGCGAAAACUAAGAUCCUCGGUUGAGAUGGAGACCGUUGGAGCUUUGGGAGGGGGAGACUCUUCACUGGGAUUUAUACAAACUUCCGUUGUGCCAACACUUAUCUGUAAAUAAAAAUGCAUUGUCCAUAUAUUUUGCUCACAUUCAAAAAGCAAUAUGACUCACCUGCAUAAUUGGCGAGGAGACGUCUUUUCUUUUUUUAUGUCCAAUUUGUAAUAGAAGGGUUUCGACUUUCACCGGUUCCCGACAGCCAUUUACUGUGGCAUAUGUAACGAUUCAUAAAUUUUUUUACAAUGAAUAAAAGUAACCACAGAG